AGGAUAGGAGACCACGUCACGUCAGCUGUGUGUGCGUCUGUUUCUGUUUCUUUUGCCGUGUUUACCCGAAUGUCUACAACAGGUGUUGCGUGACGCAAACAUGGCCAAAUGAAACAUUACGUUUUCUUCUGUUGCCCAUCAUUCAGUUCCGUGUGGCCAAAGUGGAUCUCAUUCUCUUGGUUGUCAUCAUGCCGAGUUUUUUACGACCGUUAAUUCUUUUAAUUCUGUUCAUUGGAUUCGCGUCCAUCGAUGGUCACACUUACGACGAAGCCCGUUCAGUCUCACUGAUUAACCAAAUUGACCGUUACCACCGUAGUAUAGGGGACGAGCUUACCGAUGAUCAGAGUCUCCUGGGCGAUCACGGACACAUCGGCAACGACCACGAGGAUUUCACUGCCACUGCUCCUUUUACCAAUGAAUGGGUUGUUGAAAUCAAAGGAGGUGCAGACGCAGCUGCAAGACUUGCAGAAGAAAUGGGUUUUGAAAUACAUGGGGAGGUCCCAAAUUUUCGUGACUUCUACCGACUACAUAAAUCGGAUCACCCAAGACGACAACGAGCUCAUGCGUCUCAUUUGUCCCGCCAACUUACGGAUGAUGUUCGCGUCUUGUGGGCCGAACAGCAAUUCGCAAAGAGGAGACAAAAACGUGGUUACGUUCCUGACUAUCCUCCUUUCGAGACCGAAGAAUCCACGACAUCACAAGAUAAUCGUCCGCUUAUCCGUGUCAAACGAGAAUCCUCCGAAAGUGAUGAUGUAACACGCAAAAAGCGUUCUGAUAUGGAAAUGCCGUCAAAGUCACGUCGUCUUUUUAACGAUGAACUAUGGGAUAAUCAAUGGUACAUGCAUGAUACGAGAACUAUAGCUUCGCUACCUCGAUUAGACCUGAAUGUUUUGCCCGUCUACGAUAUGGGCUACACUGGCCGUGGAGUCACCGUCCUAGUCUUAGACGACGGCAUAGAAGGCAACCACACUGACAUUCGCAAUAAUUACAAUGCGAAAAUCAGCUACGAUAUGAACGAUGACGAUCGGGAUCCCACACCACGCUACGGGAAAGGUGCAGUUAACAGUCACGGAACGAGAUGUGCUGGAGAAAUCGCCAUGGAGGCGAAUAACAAAAAAUGUGGUGUUGGAGUGGCUUUUAACGUCAGCAUCGGUGGUGUUCGCAUGUUGGAUGGCGCUGUCAGUGACCGAGUAGAAGCCUCUUCUCUUUUGUAUGCCCUGGAAAUAGUUGACAUUUAUAGCGCAUCAUGGGGACCAAGUGACGACGGUAAAACGGUCGAGGGUCCAGGCCGUCUCGUCCGUCAAGCUUUACUUCAAGGAGUAACGGAGGGGAGAAAGGGAAAAGGAGCAAUUUAUAUUUGGGCUGCUGGAAACGGUGGCCGAGUGCAAGAUAAUUGCAAUUGCGACGGCUAUGUCUCUUCCAUCUACACUUUGUCGAUUGGAAGUGUCUCAGAACAAGGUGAUUUCCCCUGGUACGGAGAACAAUGCGCAUCGACAAUGGCAGUCACCUACUCCAGCGGUGCCUACACCGACCAGAAAAUAGCCACCAUCGAUCUGAACGACACGUGUACCAUGGAUCACACCGGGACAUCGGCUGCAGCCCCACUAGCGUCCGGAAUCAUAGCUUUAGCGCUGGAGGCCAACCCCAAUUUGACAUGGAGAGAUGUCCAGCAUUUGGUAGCUUGGACUAGCGAGUACAAACCGCUGGAGGAUAAUAUUGAAUGGCAAGAAAAUGCUGCUGGUAUACGUUUCAAUUCGCGAUUCGGGUUUGGAAUGAUGAACGCAGCGAAAUACGUUCUAGCUGCAAUGAACUGGACCAGUGUUCCCGGCAAAUCCAUUUGCACCACUCUUUCCGAUAGCAAUUUACCUGUGCUGUUUACCAACCGAGAAUGGGGGGCCGUCACAUUUGAGAGCGACGGAUGUGCUGGCACUCUGAACGAGGUCAAUUACUUGGAGCAUGUGGAAGUGAUAGUCAAUAUUGAAUAUCCAGUACGAGGUCAACUUGAAAUCGAUUUGAUCUCACCUUCAGGGACUCGCACGCAAGUGUUAAAGCCUCGUUCCAAGGAUCAAUCAAAACUUGGCUUCGUGAAUUGGCCAUUUAUGUCUGUGCACACGUGGGGAGAGAACCCUAAAGGUCAAUGGAAAUUAAUCGCAACUGAUGUGUCGAGCCAAAAACCGAACCUUUUGUCCGGACGCAUCGUUAACGCCACUUUAGUCCUGCACGGCACUUCCGCUAUGCCGGAAUACCGGAAGCAUGGCACCAGGAUUUAUGACGAUGCAUUCAACCAGCUUUCUUCUCGCUCGCACGAGGCAACAAUAAAUAACGAACUGGAUGACGAAGACCAGAGGCUCGACAUCAGCCAACUGCGUUCCGAAAAUCCUAACCUUUCCUGGAAAGAUUUGAUUGGAGUGAAACUCGCUCGUCAUUCAUCAGCCAACGCCAAUUAAUGAUUUACCCAAGCAUUCUUCAUUCAACGGAUAUUUGAGGAUGGCGGGCGGAAGAUGUCGGCUGUAGACACCGAUAUUGGCACAAUGAUUGACCACCGCUGCCACCGACUCGAAACGACGUUCAGGCAAGGUGACUAGCGUGAAAUCUUUGUUCGGAUCGUCAAGCCCAGUGUUGCAGCAAAUACGAACGUGCAGAAAACCAUUUUCACCUCUGCUUACCACCCAUGAAAAAGGCAAGAAAAAUUGAUUUGAAUAAUAAAAAUAGCUAGAAAGUAGUCGGCAUGACUAGCCAUCGAGUCCCGCACAAGAAAAGAACCCGCCGGCGCAGGUUUUAGUCGUUUUUCAGCAUCUCGUCGCGUGAUGGACCCGUGAUACCAACUGUUUUGUUGUUGUUUUUUUUUUUCAACAUAAAAAAAAAAGCGACGAAGAAAAAAUAGGAAAUGUGUCACGAAUCGUUAGAGCAAAAAAAAAACAAACAAACUUGGCGAAUGAAUAAGAAAAAGUCGCACUACACGGAAGAAAGCAGGUGCAACGAACGGAAGACUCUGCAAUGGAGGGAAAGACAGCGUGAGUGAAAGCUGACGGAUCGGAGCGCUCGUUUGCGGCUUGAAGAUGCCGCUGUUGUUGUUGGUCCCACGGCGCAAUUUAGGCAUGAGAAAAGUUAAAUCGAUAACAUGCGAAGGUGCGUCAAUACGGAUAAACGGAUCAAGUUACCUUGACUAUUGUCGAGUGAGAGAUGGAGUGGCGGUUUGUUCAGCGGUUGAAGAGCUUCGUGAGAGUCGUUUGUAACCAACGAGUUGGCUGAUAUGGAGAUACCACUGUCAGAGCCAUUGAACCCCCCAGCACUUCCGCUGGGCCUGCCGCUGAUGAUGUUAGAGAAAAGAGAUUGAGGGCGUCGCCUUGCGGCCGCAUGGAACUCGAAUGGAACGGCGACCGAUGAUGGGAUAGGAACGGUGGAGCGAGAAUCCACGGUGAUGAUGAUGGUAAUUAUGAUGAGAAUCGACCGAAUGAAACAAAUGAUGCGUUUGCUGUAGCGAUCGUGAACGAUUCAAGAUCAACCGGCCGUCAAGGUCUUGGGCGGAUUCGUCCAGACUGCAAAUACUCGUUUGUAAACUGGAAAUGUUGGAACGCUGCAGCUGUAACGAGCUUCUGUCGGGCUCCGAAUGACCAGUCAUGUCAAUAUUUGGAUUGCUGUUCAUGCUGGACGUCACCGCUUUUCUGGCUCGGAUGACGGCCUGCUGAAUUUUACGCACGAUCGGAUGAUUCACGGCCGAGUCAACUUCCUCCGGUGGGUUGUCCGGCUGAGAUGUCCAGCAAUCGUUUCGUCCAUCGAAAAAUGAUGUCUCGUAAACAUACCGAAUUUUUACGGCGGAAGCCAUCCGCACGAAUUGAUGUAUGUAUUUUUUCAAGAAUCAAAUCUGGAACAUGGAAGCUAAAAAAUGGCCUAAACAACAUGAAAACGGAUGUUUGUUUACAACUUUGGUCGGAUGGAGGUCGAGAAGAACGUUGUUAUUUUACGUAAUGCAAAACUUACUGCGGACGGAUGAAUGAUGGAUGAGGCAAAGACGAGAGAAUACUGUGCUUGUACAAAGCUGCGGCUGCCGCCACGGCCGGGAGCACGACCCGUUAUGAUGGAGGAUGGAAGCAAAGCACGUUGGAACUUGUUCCCACCAAUACCUGGCUCCUCAUGGGUGAAUCAUCGGGCUCCCCCGUUCAGCGAAGAAGCUCCUCCCACCCUGACAGCAACCCGACGGGACCAGUCGAUGAGGGUAUUUCCACACCAGACAGCAGCAGACGGGGUUACUGAGUUUCUUUAUGUUAUACAUCACUGUUACGUGUCGGUAUUUCGGGAGGUUAAAAAAACAACAUGCGUGACCGGAAUCUGAUUGAGUCUUUUGCUUUACAAUAUCUUCCUUCCCCCUUUUUUCCCCUCCUUUGUGUCUAUAUUUUUGCAUUUCUUCUUUUUGUCGGGAUAUACCAGUUUCCUUUCUAGCUGCGUAUUCUCUUCGUGGUACGAAGGAGAUGAAGGAGCGGAUAUCCGCUUCUCGGCGCCACUGCGGGCAAGCGUGAUGAUGGAAUAAAGAGAGGAUUCUGCCCAAGGCCUCGUAAGUAUAUUGCAUUAUUCCCGUCCGUCCCCGUUUUACCAGUUGGACGAUAUGAAACGAAGAAAGGAACAAAUAGCGAGUUCUAGUCGGUUAGGCAUGUAGAAUAGAAUAAGGGCGACAGUGGCGAAAUGUAGUAUCACAGUUGUUGGAUCUAUUAUGAAAUUCCCUGUUGAGUUGUCUCGCUCUGACAAACCAACUAAAGAGAAAGACAAAAAUAUUUGCAGAAAAAGAUAUAAUUCUUUAUCGCUUUCAGCGAAUGCAGCUUUCUUUGUUCUUUCACAUUUAUCUAUGCGUUUGUUUUAGUCGCUCUACUGAACGCGAAUGAGAUCGUUUUGUAGCGAUUGCUUCGUCAAUGACCUAGCUGCUAAUUUCACUAUGUAUUGCCGUGCCAGGAUUUUUUUUUAAACAUCUCUAGGAAGAAUCAAUCGAUCAAGAUUACAAUCGCCUUUGUGAUGUAGCUUUUAUUAUUCUUAACGAUCGUGUUAAUCCUUUGACUUGUUUUAGGACCCGUCAAAAUCAAGAGCCCGUGAAUCAUAAAGGCUUAGUUGAUAUGGUGUGUACUCGAGUGAACGUGAAUACAACAGUCACGAUUUC